UAAAUCUUACAAUUAACAAAUCUAAAGAUUUGAACCCUGAAGAAAAAAAGAAAAGGACAACCUACACAAUAAUACUUUAUACAGUUGUUUAUAGAUUAAAAGAACAACACAUCUACUAUUAUUCUCCAUUCACCUCCGCAUCAUCACUCAUUUUGUGCUAAAUCCAAAUCUGUCUUUCUUCUCCAAAGAAGACUUCUCAGUUCUCAACAAACACAUUAGAGUUUGCAAAAAGAUAUUGUGAUAUGACAAGUGAGGCACCAAGUUGGGCAGAUCAAUGGGGAACCGGAGGGAUCGGGGAUAUGCCAGAUGAAGAGAACAAUAACAAGAAAGAUGCAGGCGGUAAGAACUCUGGCCAAACCAAAUCGACCAAGAUUGUUGAUAUCAUAACUUUCAAGUGGGUGAAGAAUCUUGUGCCUAAGAAGAAGAAGGAGGACUCUAAUUCUUGAAACAAAGAACAACUCCAAAUUCUUUGUUUACCCCUUUUUCUUGAAAAAGAUGGUUUCUUCUCAAGGUCUCAAAUCAUCAUUGUAUUUAUUUUAUUCUUAUUUUGUGAGUUUCAUGUGAGUUGUUAUUGUGCAUCCCAAGAUUGAAAGUUUUAUUGUUUUAUAUGACAUGGCUCAAAUCGUCGUUUCCUCUUGCAAA